UACGUAGGGGGCAAGCGUUAUCCGGAUUUACUGGGUGUAAAGGGAGCGUAGACGGCAAGGCGAGUCUGAUGUGAAAACCCAGGGCUUAACCCUGGGACUGCAUUGGAAACUGUCUGGCUCGAGUGCCGGAGAGGUAAGCGGAAUUCCUAGUGUAGCGGUGAAAUGCGUAGAUAUUAGGAAGAACACCAGUGGCGAAGGCGGCUUACUGGACGGUAACUGACGUUGAGGCUCGAAAGCGUGGGGAGCAAACAGG
rnacentral:rRNA from 1 species